UACAGAGGUCUCAAGCGUUGUUCGGAUUCAUUGGGCGUAAAGGGUGCGUAGGUGGCGCCGUAAGUCAGGUGUGAAAUUUCGGAGCUUAACUCCGAAACUGCAUUUGAUACUGCGGUGCUUGAGGACUGGAGAGGAGACUGGAAUUCACGGUGUAGCAGUGAAAUGCGUAGAUAUCGUGAGGAAGACCAGUGGCGAAGGCGGGUCUCUGGACAGUUCCUGACACUGAGGCACGAAGGCUAGGGGAGCAAACGGGG
rnacentral:rRNA from 1 species